ACCACAAUGAGAUGUUAUCUCACUUCAGUUAGAAUGGUCAUUAUCAAAAAGACAAAAAAUAACACAUGUUGGUGAGGAUACAGAAAAAGGUGAGCUCUUAUACACUAUUGCUGGGAAUGUAAAUUAGUACAACCAUUAUGGAAAACAGUAUGGAG